rnacentral:rRNA from 1 species
CGUCAAAGCUUAAUAUAUCUGUAUAAACAAUCUCAUAAGUACCUUAAAACCCCUAAAUAGUACUAAAUAAUUCUAUACCCCUAUAGAACCUAUCAUGCUAAAACUAGUAACAAGAAGAAACCUUCUCUUCUAUGUAAAUGUAAAUCAGAACAGAAGACCUACUGAUUCUUAACAGCCAUAAACUAUUGUAUUAACACGCUUAGAUAAAUUUACUUCAAAAACCUGUUAACCUUACACAAGAACAUAAAAAGAAAGAUUAUAAGAAAAAGAAGGAACUCGGCAAAUUAUGAUUCCGCCUGUUUACCAAAAACAUCGCCUCCUGCUAACCUAUAGGAGGUCCAGCCUGCCCAGUGACCUAGUUUAACGGCCGCGGUAUCCUAACCGUGCGAAGGUAGCGUAAUCACCUGUUUUUUAAUUGAAGACCUGUAUGAAUGGCAUCACGAGAAUCACACUGUCUCCUUUUUCCAAUCAGUGAAACUAAUCCUCCCGUGAAAAAGCGGGGAUAUUUAUGCAAGACGAGAAGACCCUUUGGAGCUUAAGACAAAGUAGUAUUGUGGCCCCCUCACUACACCUAUUUAUUUAAACACUUAUACUACAAGUCUUCGGUUGGGGCAACCGCGGAGUAAAAUUCACCCUCCAAGUUGAACGGAACUUUCCUAAACAAAAAGAAACACCUUUAUGUAUCAAUAAAUUGACACUUAUGACCCAAUAUUUUGAUUAUCGAACCAAGUUACCCUAGGGAUAACAGCGCAAUCCACUUCAAGAGUUCAUAUCGACAAGUGGGCUUACGACCUCG